GUACUCGCUUCGGCAGUACAUAUACUAAAAUUGGAACGAUACAGAGAAGAUUAGCAUGGCCCCUCUGUAUCUCAGCCCCAUGAAGACCUCCGGAGUUGAUUUUU